AGUGAACGCUGGCGGUAGGCCUAACACAUGCAAGUCGAACGGCAGCACAGUAAGAGCUUGCUCUUACGGGUGGCGAGUGGCGGACGGGUGAGGAAUACAUCGGUAUCUACUUUUUCGUGGGGGAUAACGUAGGGAAACUUACGCUAAUACCGCAUACGACCUACGGGUGAAAGCAGGGGAUCUUCGGACCUUGCGCGAUUGAAUGAGCCGAUGUCGGAUUAGCUAGUUGGCGGGGUAAAGGCCCACCAAGGCGACGAUCCGUAGCUGGUCUGAGAGGAUGAUCCGCCACACUGGAACUGAGACACGGCCCAGACUCCUACGGGAGGCAGCAGCGGGGAAUAUUGGACAAUGGGCGCAAGCCUGAUCCAGCCAUACCGCGUGGGUGAAGAAGGCCUUCGGGUUGUAAAGCCCUUUUGUUGGGAAAGAAAAGCAGCAGGUUAAUACCCCGCUGUUCUGACGGUACCCAAAGAAUAAGCACCGGCUAACUUCGUG
rnacentral:rRNA from 1 species